rnacentral:tRNA from 1 species
GCCAAUGUGGCAUAGAGGUUUGAGUAUUGGACUUCAACUCUAGAGACCAGGGUUCAACUCCCAACUUGGCC